AAGGAAGGUGCUGCUUGGCAGGAACUGUAGCAGCCCUUCCUGGGUUAAGAUGAUGCCACAGGAAGCUUUAUCGUAGUGUUGAAAUCAGACAACUCAUUAUUUUUCAGAACAUCUGUAUAGCCAUGACCAUGUGGACUGUCCAUCUUUUCUACUGACAAAAGAUGGAAUUUUCUUUCUAUGAUGGAGAAAGAGUUGAGCUCAGUUCCUGGAUUAUGAGCAGUAAAUGUCUAUGUCGUCUCUGAUUCUGUCCUGAUUUACUUGGAGAGACAGGAAGGAUAGAAAUAAGAAGUGUUGCUGUUGACUUUUAUCCAAAACUCUUGAGGAAAAGACUGAUGGGACUUUUGUCUUCUCUGAGAACUGGGAGUCUGGGACUUUGGCUGGUCUGUGCCUGCCCAGAUCAUUUUGACUGUUGAGCUUUCUGCACAAGGGAGCCAGUUUCUUAGAAAAUAGAUAGCUAUGCAGAAGGGCAAGGAAAAUGGAGUGCUUGAUCCUGCUGAUGGCCUAUGUGAGAGAUACUGUGAAGGUUCUACUCUGAUCCCUAUAAAUAAUAAAUAAAAUGUUGAAUAAAAGGCUUUUCAGU